rnacentral:rRNA from 1 species
UACGUAGGGGGCAAGCGUUGUCCGGAUUUAUUGGGCGUAAAGAGCGUGUAGGCGGCCAUGUAGGUCCGUUGUGAAAACUCGAGGCUCAACCUCGAGACGCCGAUGGAAACCAUGUGGCUAGAGUCCGGAAGAGGAGAGUGGAAUUCCUGGUGUAGCGGUGAAAUGCGCAGAUAUCAGGAGGAACACCGAUGGCGAAGGCAGGUCUCUGGGCAUUAACUGACGCUGAGGAGCGAAAGCAUGGGGAGCGAACAGG